GGCGGAGGAGGAGGAGGACGAGGGGGGAUCCGGUGGAACUUCCGGUCUCGCGGGCGCCGCCGCUGCUGGAGGAGUUCUGGGAGGUGGCCCGCCCUGUCCGUCGGUGGGGGAAGACGUCGACGGCGCACCGACGUGCCCCAUCUGCCCGGCGGGCUCCUCCCUCGCGGGCCUGCGUCUCUCGCCCCUCUCUUGCUGCUGCUCGGCCCGCUGCGC
rnacentral:lncRNA from 1 species